CCCUAGCCGUCACCCUUCAGGAAAGAAAGAAAGAAAGAAAAGGGAGCAAGAAGGGGGAAAGAGAGAGCGGCGGGAAAGAGGGAGAAACAGAGACAGAGGAGAAGAGAGGGAGGACGGCGUCGGCAGACAUCACUGUCGUCGUGUCGUCGUCGCCGCCCAGCUGCCCAUCGUUACUGGCGCCAACGUGGAGAGGAGAAGAGAGAAAGGAGAGCGUUGUCGGUGCUGUGUUUGCGCCAUUUAUCCUCGCUGCCGCCGUCGCUGUGGGUCCGAUGCCGUCGAGAUCGAAGGAGAAAGGGAGAGCAACACCGAGAUUGAGAGAGACAGAGACGAUGCGACGCGAGGAAGGAGGCGAGCCAUCGCGUCACCGUCGCCGAGUCUCGCGCCGUCACCGUCGCGUGCUCCGUCACCGGAAAAAAGUGCUGUGGUAGCUGAGGUCCAUUGUCGUUGCUAUCAGUAGAGAUUCAGGCUGCCGCCGUCAUUCAAGGUAGCUGCUGGAGUUGCUACCGCUCUGUUGCCUCAUUUCUCUUUAGCUGCAUAACAGGUUCAGAAAGCGUUGGCGCAAAGCCGCAACCGAUCUACAAGAUUUAUAUAUAUGUUAUAUUUUCUGUUUGAUGGUUUAGUUGUGAUUUUAUCCCUCGUCAAUUGUCAUUUUGAGAUUUUAGAGGGGCACGACUUGUAUUUUGAGUUUUGAAUAAUUCUAUGUAUUUAUUAUUAUGUGGAUAUAAUUGUGUGAUUAAGUGAAUUAAAGUAAAGGCUUUUUGAUUUCGUAACUAAGGAUUCGGUUUUUAUUCGCGAAAG